GGUGGCUCAGUGGAGAGCGCUUGCCUUGCAUGCAUGAGGCCCUGAGUCCGAUUCCUCAGCACCA
rnacentral:tRNA from 1 species